CGCAACUGCAAAACCACAAAACAAAAGAUCAACAACGACUUCUAGUUCCAGUUUUAUUAGCAAGAAGAAAUCUAAAUUUUACCCGAUUAAACUUACGAAACUCUUAAAUAGUGAGUGAAACCUAAUAGACAGAACCCUACAACUGAACAUUAAUACUACACUACUUUGAAAUUGAAGUUACAUUCUACAUUUUGCAACAAUCGCUGUGGUGGUAUACUAUGAUAUAAUUCAAGAAACAUAGUACUGAAAUUAAAAUAAAACAAGAAUGACACCUCUAAUAAAACGGAAUUAAAUUAC